GUUGCAGGUGUCGGCUGAUCGGGGGGUGGUGGGGCGCUUGUGUGCUCCAGAUAGUAUUACUCUACCUGUGUGAUCCACCGCGGACUACAGGGUAACAAUGAAGUCAGCUGUCUGCCUGGUGACCUCUGUAGUGAUAAGUGUUGUGCAGAAUCAACUUAACCACCAAAUUUAAAGAUUUCACUAUGGCUUCAGUAUUGCUCGUUCCCUCAACGAAAUGGACACUUUGCAGGAGUUAUUCAGUCCUGAUAAUGAUGAGAGCGCCUUAGAUGAACCUGUCAACUUUGUCCUUGAAAUCCACAUGGCUGCAUAUUGUGUUUGCUUUGCCAGAAGCCCAUCUGCGCGAACCACCAUGUCACGCUACCUUCAACUGCCACACAUAAGAUAGAGAUUCAGUCUCACCAAAAUCUAUUUCAACUAUCCCAGUAAAAGCCCUGAAUUUAUCAUGUCUUCAGCUAUAGACAAAAUGCAAUUUUUGUACUGUCAAGGAAAACUUUAGAAUUUUUAUGGAUAUUUGUGUAGCAUAUUAUAAAUAAAAUAGUAUAUUAUUAUUCAUCAAUAUUUUCAGUGUGUAUAUGUUUAGCCAAUUUUUCAGCGCUGUAUGAGACAUUUUGAUCAUCCAUUAGUAACUACAGAGAUCAUAUCCACGGUAGGGUAUGAGCAGUUAUUCAUUUUAAUCAUUUGUUUUAUGUUUUGCACAGUUAUAUUAUUUUCCACGUAAUCAAGAGAGUAAGUAACCUGUUAUCUGUCACACUCAGUCCUCCACCACGACCGCCUCUCAUAAAUUGUAUUACUUCGGUACUCUCAUCUCCACUGCUUUCAUUUACUUGCAAAC